rnacentral:rRNA from 1 species
GACGAACGCUGGCGGCGUGCUUAACACAUGCAAGUCGAACGGAAAGGCCCUGCUUUUGUGGGGUGCUCGAGUGGCGAACGGGUGAGUAACACGUGAGUAACCUGCCCUUGACUUUGGGAUAACUUCAGGAAACUGGGGCUAAUACCGGAUAGGAGCUCCUGCUGCAUGGUGGGGGUUGGAAAGUUUCGGCGGUUGGGGACGGACUCGCGGCUUAUCAGCUUGUUGGUGGGGUAGUGGCUUACCAAGGCUUUGACGGGUAGCCGGCCUGAGAGGGUGACCGGCCACAUUGGGACUGACAUACGGCCCAGACUCCUACUGGAGGCAGCAGUGGGGAAUAUUGCACAAUGGGCGGAAGCCUGAUGCAGCAACGCCGCGUGCGGGAUGACGGCCUUCGGGUUGUAAACCGCUUUCGCCUGUGACGAAGCGUGAGUGACGGUAAUGGGUAAAGAAGAACCGGCUAACUACGUG